rnacentral:rRNA from 1 species
UACGUAGGUGGCAAGCGUUGUCCGGAUUUACUGGGUGUAAAGGGCGUGCAGCCGGGCUGACAAGUCAGAUGUGAAAUCCCGCAGCUCAACCGCGGAACUGCAUUUGAAACUGUCAGUCUUGAGUACCGGAGAGGUCAUCGGAAUUCCUUGUGUAGCGGUGAAAUGCGUAGAUAUAAGGAAGAACACCAGUGGCGAAGGCGGAUGACUGGACGGCAACUGACGGUGAGGCGCGAAAGCGUGGGGAGCAAACAGG